rnacentral:rRNA from 1 species
AAAUCUGGCUCCGUCUGGAGUCCGAGUUGUAAUUUGUAGAAGAUGCUUUGGGUGGUAGGCUCGGCCUAAGUUCCUUGGAACAGGACGUCAUAGAGGGUGAGAAUCCCGUAUGUGGCCGCAGCCUGCGCCUAUGUAAAGCUCUUUCGACGAGUCGAGUUGUUUGGGAAUGCAGCUCAAAAUGGGUGGUAAAUUUCAUCUAAAGCUAAAUAUGGGCCAGAGACCGAUAGCGCACAAGUAGAGUGAUCGAAAGAUGAAAAGCACUUUGGAAAGAGAGUUAAACAGUACGUGAAAUUGUUGAAAGGGAAGCGCUUGCAACCAGACUUGGGCGCUGUCGAUCACCGUGAGUUCUCUCUCGUGCACUCGUCAGCGCACAGGCCAGCAUCGGUUCGGGUGGUUGGAUAAAGGCCGUAGGAACGUAGCUCUCUUCGGAGAGUGUUAUAGCCUACGGUGCCAUGCAGCCCAGCCGGACCGAGGACCGCGCCUUCGGGCUAGGAUGCUGGCGUAAUGGUUGUAAGCGACCCGUCUUGAAACACGGACCAAGGAGUCUAACAUCUAUGCGAGUGUUUGGGCGUUAAACCCAUACGCGGAAUGAAAGUGAACGUAGGUGAGAACCUUCAUUGGAGGCGCAUCAUCGACCGAUCCUGAUGUCUUCGGAUGGAUUUGAGUAAGAGCAUAGCUGUUGGGACCCGAAAGAUGGUGAACUAUGCCUGAAUAGGGUGAAGCCAGAGGAAACUCUGGUGGAGGCUCGCAGCGGUUCUGACGUGCAAAUCGAUCGUCAAAUUUGGGCAUAGGGGCGAAAGACUAAUCGAACCAUCUAGUAGCUGGUUCCUGCCGAAGUU